rnacentral:lncRNA from 1 species
AUGCAUUUAAAAGAUUUUUACUUUUCGUAUCUUUGAAACUUAUUUAUAGCUGGUUUGGAGUCCCUAUUUAUUGCUGACUUGUGCCUUUCAGGUGCUGAUCUCCAACAAACAAUGUUUCACAGCCUCUUGGAAGUUUGCAGUCAGUGAAUCUUGAUUCUAUGUUACGUUACACUUUUGUGCCUGAUUAUUCCGUACGAGCUGUUACGGAUGUCUGUUAUGCUCGCAUUAAGCGCUCUCUUUACCUUGCUGCAAAGAGGGCUACACUAAUGGAGCAGUCAAAGAAAGGCUCCGUGACAGACAACUUCAAUGAUGAGGUUGAUAAGUUACUUGCUGGUGAAGAUGAUUCAAAAAGUCAAAGCUCUCCUGAAAUGACGAGAAAUACAUCGCAAUUAGAUGAACUGAAUGGCCAGUUUAAUGACUUCAGCCCUACCCAUCAUCAGCACAAACAGAACUCCACCAAGUCUUCAUCAUUAAUCUCACCGGUGUGUCCUCGCUCCAAGAUCGAUGGCAUUGAAAUUGCAAGCCUUGAGGAGCAAGAGAACCUACUUGAUCACAGAAGCAAUUGUCAAGAAGAAACUGGUGUAUCAUAA